UUGAAAAUUUGAGAUACACGCCUAUUCCCUAAAUUUCAAACACACACCUAUCCCACGCGGGCCACGCCUGUAUCCCUAUUAUUUGAAACACACGCAUUUUCCCUUUACAUUUCUUUUUCUCUCUCAUUUCAUUAACCUAAAUUUGAAACACACACCUAUUUGUUUCCGCCGCCCCGCCCCCCACACACCAGACCACUAUCGCCGCCCUCACGGCUCACACGCUGCCAGCUCCAGCCAGCCUUCUCUGCCGCCGCCGCCCACACCCUACUGACGUCGUUGGAUCCUCAGCCUUCUCCGCUGCGGGCUGCCCGUCGCCACUCGCCAGCAACUAACGUCGCUCGUCUCCAGUCGCCAGCACCCCGCCACGGCGUCGCCUCUCCUCCAACUGUCGUCUGCUGCUGCCGUAUACUAGCAGGAGCAAGAAGAACCUUUCCAUGUGAUGUUGAAGUCCACUUAGUUUACAAGCUUGGUGGAAGAUUGGAUGUUUGACAUUGUUUUAUUGAAGUGUUGUUUUGAUGAAUUUGAAACCUAUCUUUAUUUUAUGUAUUGCAAACUUUUGAAUGUUAUGAUGUGUAUUGAGAAUUUAAAUGGUGGAAUCAUCAAAUGAGCUUUUUU